rnacentral:sRNA from 1 species
CUAUUGCGAAGGAUCUCUCUCCUCCUCCCUGAGAUCCGACGUAACCUGCGCCGACCCACUCUCCUCCUCCCAGAGGCUUGGCGAGGCGCACACAUAAGACGGCGAUGUUCACCUCCUCCCGAACAUCGCCGUUUUU